AAUCCUUGAAAAAGAAGAUCAAGAAACUUCGAAGAAGCUUUCUUGAUGGAGGGGAGCGGCAGACGGGUGAGUAACGCGUGGGAAUCUACCGUACCCUACGGAAUAGCUCUGGGAAACUGGAGGUAAUACCGUAUACGCCCUAACGGGGAAAGAUUUAUCGGGGUAUGAUGAGCCCGCGUUGGAUUAGCUAGUUGGUGGGGUAAAGGCCUACCAAGGCGACGAUCCAUAGCUGGUCUGAGAGGAUGAUCAGCCACAUUGGGACUGAGACACGGCCCAAACUCCUACGGGAGGCAGCAGUGGGGAAUAUUGGACAAUGGGCGCAAGCCUGAUCCAGCCAUGCCGCGUGAGUGAUGAAGGUCUUAGGAUUGUAAAGCUCUUUCACCGAUGAAGAUAAUGACGGUAGUCGGAGAAGAAGCCCCGGCUAACUUCGUGCCAGCAGCCGCCGUAA
rnacentral:rRNA from 1 species